rnacentral:rRNA from 1 species
UACGGAGGAUGCAAGCGUUAUCCGGAUUUAUUGGGUUUAAAGGGUGCGUAGGCGGAUAUGUAAGUCAGCGGUGAAACUCACAGGCUCAACCUGUGCCGUGCCGUUGAAACUGUGUAUCUGGAAUGCGGAUGCUGUGGGAGGAAUGUGUAGUGUAGCGGUGAAAUGCUUAGAUAUAAUACAGAACCCCGAUUGCGAAGGCAGCUUACCGGGCUGUAACUGACGCUCAGGCACGAAAGCGUGGGGAUCAAACAGGAUUAGA